rnacentral:rRNA from 1 species
UACGGGGGGGGCAAGCGUUGUUCGGAAUUACUGGGCGUAAAGGGCUCGUAGGCGGCCAACUAAGUCGGACGUGAAAUCCCUCAGCUUAACUGGGGAACUGCGUCUGAUACUGGAUGGCUUGGAUUCGGGAGAGGAAUGCGGAAUUCCAGGUGUAGCGGUGAAAUGCGUAGAUAUCUGGAGGAACACCGGUGGCGAAGGCGGCAUUCUGGACCGACAUUGACGCUGAGGAGCGAAAGCCAGGGGAGCAAACGGG